UGCCUUGCGCCUAGGCUCUAGGACACUUUGACGCCUUGAACCUUUAAUAACUAUGAAUUCAAGUGAUUGAUCAAUUAUAAAGAUGUUACAAAAAAUUUGUAUUACUUGUAUACCAAACAAGAAAAUGGAAUCCUAUUGAUGUAGAACAAGGUCUAAUACCAAAUUGACCUAAAACAAGAAGAAUCCAAAGGUUCAAGAGAAACAAAUUCUCACGAAGAAAGAAACAAAUUCUCAAACUUAUAUU
rnacentral:misc_RNA from 1 species